GCGGUGCAUCCUGCUUGCGCCCGGGGCUGCGCCCGGGGCUGAGAUCCUCCCGCGCCUGAGGCGGCUGGCAGCGGGAGCUGAGAGGCUGCUGUGGUCCCCGCCACCUCCCCAUUUCCGCGUCCCCGGGACCAUGGCCGCGCAGGCGGGGGAAGAUACCUGGAAGUGUCAGGGCUGUGGGGACCAUGUCGCUCCAAGCCAGAGGCGGUACAGGACUGUCAACGAAGCCUGGCACAGCUCUUGCUUCCGGUGUUCAGAAUGCCAGGAUUCCCUCACCAACUGGUACUAUGAGAAGGAUGGGAAGCUUUACUGCCACAAGGACUACUGGGGGAAGUUUGGGGAGUUCUGCCAUGGGUGCUCUCUGCUGAUGACAGGGCCUGUCAUGGUGGCCGGGGAGUUCAAGUACCACCCAGAGUGCUUUGCCUGUAUGAGCUGCAAGGUGAUCAUUGAAGAUGGUGAUGCAUAUGCCCUGGUGCAGCACUCCACCCUCUACUGUGGGAAGUGCCAUAAUGAGGUGGUGUUGGCACCCAUGUUUGAGAGGCUCUCCACGGAGUCUGUUCAGGACCAGCUGCCUUACUCCGUCACACACAUCUCCAUGCCAGCCACCACCGAGGGCAGACGGGGCUUCUCCGUGUCCGUGGAAAGUGCCUGCUCCAACUAUGCCACCACUGUGCAAGUAAAAGAGGUCAACCGGAUGCACAUCAGUCCCAGCAACCGCAACGCCAUCCACCCUGGGGAUCGCAUCCUGGAGAUCAAUGGGAUCCCCGUCCGCACACUCCGAGUGGAAGAGGUAGAGGAUGCAAUUAACCAGACAAGCCAGACGCUUCAGCUCUUGAUUGAACAUGAUCCUGUGUCCCAGCGCCUGGACCAGCUGCGGCUGGAUGCACGACUCUCCCCCCACAUGCAGAAUGCCGGACACUCCCAUACCCUCAGCACCCUGGACACUAAGGAGAAUCUGGAAGGCACACUAAGGAGACGCUCCCUGAGGCGCAGUAACAGCAUCUCCAAGUCUCCUGGCCCCAGCUCCCCAAAGGAGCCCCUGCUAUUUAGUCGUGACAUCAGCCGUUCAGAAUCGCUCCGCUGUUCCAGCAGCAAUUCACAGCAGAUCUUCCGGCCAUGUGACCUGAUCCACGGGGAGGUCCUGGGGAAGGGCUUCUUUGGGCAGGCCAUCAAGGUAACACACAAAGCCACUGGCAAAGUGAUGGUCAUGAAGGAGUUAAUUCGGUGUGAUGAGGAAACACAGAAGACUUUUCUGACUGAGGUGAAGGUGAUGCGCAGCCUGGACCACCCCAAUGUGCUCAAGUUCAUUGGUGUGCUAUACAAAGACAAGAAGCUGAACUUGCUGACAGAGUACAUUGAGGGGGGCACGCUGAAGGACUUUCUGCGCAGUGUGGACCCGUUUCCCUGGCAGCAGAAGGUCAGAUUUGCCAAAGGCAUCGCCUCUGGAAUGGCCUAUUUGCACUCCAUGUGCAUCAUCCACCGGGAUCUGAACUCACACAACUGCCUUAUCAAGCUGGACAAGACUGUGGUGGUGGCAGACUUUGGGCUGUCACGGCUUAUAGUUGAGGAGAGGAAAAAGCCCCCAGUGGAGAAGGCUACCACCAAGAAACGCACCUUGCGUAAGAAUGACCGCAAGAAGCGCUAUACAGUGGUGGGAAACCCCUACUGGAUGGCCCCUGAGAUGCUGAAUGGAAAGAGCUACGAUGAGACAGUGGAUGUCUUCUCUUUUGGGAUCGUUCUCUGCGAGGGGACAUAGACAUGAGGGGAUACAGCAGGGCAGAGUGGGAUGUGUGGAGCUGCCUCUCCAGAUCUGGAACAUCUUGCUUCUGCUGCAGUGAAGCCUCUUCUAAACCCUUCUCAGUAACCAGACUCUCAGUUGAGAGAAGAGUCUGGAUUCGUGAGAUUUGGGCAUGGGGGACGGCUCCCUAACCUUGGUUUUUACCUCCCUCUUCUGCCCAUCCUUCCUGUCCAUACACCAGUAUCCCACUGCCCUGUGACCGCACCCACCACAGUCCACUCCUGACCAGCCAUCUUUUCAUCUGCAGAUCAUCGGGCAGGUGUAUGCAGAUCCUGACUGCCUGCCCCGAACACUGGACUUUGGCCUCAACGUGAAGCUUUUCUGGGAGAAGUUUGUCCCCACAGACUGCCCCCCAGCCUUCUUCCCCCUGGCAGCCAUCUGCUGCAAACUGGAGCCCGAGAGCAGACCAGCAUUCUCAAAACUGGAGGACUCCUUUGAGGCUCUCUCCCUGUACCUGGGGGAGCUGGGCAUCCCACUGCCUGCAGAGCUGGAAGAGCUGGACCACAAUGUGAGCAUGCAGUACGGCCUGACCCGGGACUCACCCCCCUAGCCCUGGCCCAGCCCCCUGCGGGGGGGCGUUCUGCAUCCACCAUUGCCCCCUCUGCGCCCCAUCCCUGCUGUGGGCAGGGCCGUCCGGGCUUCCUGUGGAUUGGCAGCUUGUUUAGAAACAGAACAAGCCAUCCCUACUACCUCCCCAGGAGGCGAGCGGGUGCAGCACCAGGGAAACACAUCAAGGUUUGGGGGUCUGGUUACUGUCUGUAGAUCCAACACUCGCCUGAAAGCUGUGAAGAAAAAAAAAGAAAAAAAGAAAAAAAAAAAAGCCUGGCCCAUGAGCCGGGAGGAAUCUGUUACUCGUGACCACUUGGGACGUCCCUGGCAUUGGGAUUCCAGGAGGCUCUUGCUUACACUAAUGAGCAUGACCUGGACCUGCUGGGCAGGAUUCCAGGGUGAACCUGCCUGUGGGCUCUGAAGUCUGUAGUCCAGCUGGGUACAGGAGGACUUCCAAGUGAGAGUGUGGACGAAAGACUGGUGGCCAGGCGGCUAUCCAAGGAUGUGAAGUGACAGUGGUGCUACCCACCCCUCCACUCUGUGUCCCACCCUCCUCUGGGGCAGGGGUUGAGGGAGCAAGUUUUGAAGAGUCCCUUAGUUUGUGGUGGAAUUGGCCAGGAGUCAGGGGAUGGGCUAGUUUGCUCAUCUACCAGGGCUAGGGGCCACAUCAGUGUGAGGGGGAGCUUCCACCUCAUGUUCUCAAACUGUACUGCUAGAGGCUUGCUGAGAGCUCCUGGGCCUCUCUACCUGCAACAAGCACUCACCCACAAAUGCAGCAAGAGGCUGGGGCCUGGAAAGAAAGGGGCCCUGCCCUCUAGAAAGCCCAUAUCCUGGCUGCUGUCAGGCAUACCCUGGUGGGCACCUCAGUCAGAAGCCCAAGACAUUUAUCUUAGUGCUAGAUAGGUUCUGGAGGAUUGUGUGGCUUGCCGCAGGCCCAGUGUAUGAGCCAAGAGAGUGGGAAUCUCAGCAGUCUCUUGGCCCUUCCCUUGUGGCAGCCAUUGCUCACCCUUCACCAUGCCUGGUCCAGGUAGCAACUUGGGCAGGACGAGGUGGUGGCAGAGUCCCAGAGCUGGGAUGCUGGGGGAGACUGCUCCCUGAGCUGGGCUUUCUGGCUUCUACCUCCCUUGUUGGUUGGCCCAGCUCAGUAGCUCCUUGUAGCUCCUGGCUGCAGCUUCCUCACACAACUAUGGGCACUGAAAAGCGCUGGAGGCACCCUCUACAUUGGCUCCCAGAACUCCAGGGACCCUUAAACACAACAAAAUUUGCCUCCUAUGUGUCUGUGAGCUUGCACCGUAUUUAACAAAUUGGGAAUGGGUUUGGGAUAUUACUGCAAUGUGUGGUGGUUGUGUUUUUUUGGGGGGGGGGGUGGGGGGAGGUAGUAGGGGGGGAGUGAUCCAGGAGAGUGGUUGAUGUUAAUACUGUUUUGUUGCUCUAUCUGUUGGGUGAUAUGUGAAAUACUGUACAUAGGCCUGAUAAGUUGGGGGAUUAGAUGUCCUCUCUGGACAGAGUUUACCUGCUAUAUAGACCAUACUUAUAUGUGGAGUGUGCAAGCUUGCUGUAGGGUUGAGCCCUGGCUCCGAGCAACCCUAAGUCAGAAUUUUGUGGCUGGUUGUGCCUCAGCUGUCCCCAGCAAGCAUGGGAGUGGUGGGCCCAUGGUGGGCCAUUGAGCAGACCAAAUAAAUUAAGCAGUUAACAUAAGUGA